rnacentral:snRNA from 1 species
GGAUGUGAGGGCGAUCUGGCUGCGACAUCUGUCACCCCAUUGAUCGCCAGGGUUGAUUCGGCUGAUCUGGCUGGCUAGGGGGGGGGCCCCCUUCUCCCCCCCCCCCCCCAGGUGUCCCCUUCCUCCCUCACCGCUCCAUGUGCGUCCCUCCCGAAGCUGCGCGCUCGGUCGAAGAGGACGACCUUCCCCGAUAGAGGCGUACCGUUCAUCGGUCAAGGGUAUACGGUAGCUGCGCUCCCCUGCUAGAACCUCCAAACAAGCUCAAGGUCCAUUUGUAGGAGAACGUAGGGUAGUCAAGCUUCCAAGACUGCAGACACAUCCAAGUGAGGCACUGCACGGGGCAGUCUGCCAUUGUUU